rnacentral:tRNA from 1 species
GCCUGGCUGGCUCAGUGGGUAGAGCAUGUGACUCUUGAUCUCAGGGCCAUGAGUUUGAGCCCCAUAUUGGGUG